AACUAACGCUGGCGGCGUGCCUAACACAUGCAAGUCGUACGAGAAAGUUGGCUUCGGCCGAUGAGUAAAGUGGCGCACGGGUGAGUAACGCGUGGAUAAUCUACCCUUUAGUUGGGAAUAACUCAUCGAAAGGUGGGCUAAUACCGAAUGAUACUGCAGAACUACUGUUGUGUAGUCAAAGAUGGCCUCUGCUUGCAAGCUAUCGCUGAAGGAUGAGUCCGCGUACCAUUAGCUAGUUGGUAGGGUAAUGGCCUACCAAGGCGACGAUGGUUAGCGGGUCUGAGAGGAUGAUCCGCCACACUGGAACUGGAACACGGACCAGACUCCUACGGGAGGCAGCAGUGAGGAAUAUUGCGCAAUGGGGGCAACCCUGACGCAGCGACGCCGCGUGGAUGAUGAUGGCCUUCGGGUCGUAAAAUCCUGUCAAGUGGAAAGAAGUGCAUAGUGGUUAAUACCUGCUAUGUUUGACGGUACCACUGAAGGAAGCACCGGCUAACUCCGUGCCAGCAGCCGCCGUAACAC
rnacentral:rRNA from 1 species